GAUGAACGCUGGCGGCGUGCUUAACACAUGCAAGUCGAACGGGAAUUAUUUUAUUGAAACUUCGGUCGAUUUAAUUUAAUUCUAGUGGCGAACGGGUGAGUAACGCGUGGGUAACCUGCCUUAUACAGGGGGAUAACAGUCAGAAAUGGCUGCUAAUACCGCAUAAGCGCACAGAGCUGCAUGGCUCAGUGUGAAAAACUCCGGUGGUAUAAGAUGGACCCGCGUUGGAUUAGCUGGUUGGUGGGGUAACGGCCCACCAAGGCGACGAUCCAUAGCCGGCCUGAGAGGGUGAACGGCCACAUUGGGACUGAGACACGGCCCAGACUCCUACGGGAGGCAGCAGUGGGGAAUAUUGCACAAUGGGGGAAACCCUGAUGCAGCGACGCCGCGUGAAGGAAGAAGUAUCUCGGUAUGUAAACUUCUAUCAGCAGGGAAGAUAGUGACGGUACCUGACUAAGAAGCCCCGGCUAACUACGUG
rnacentral:rRNA from 1 species